UUGACCUAUGUCCCAUAUGUCAUUGUCAUUCUUCGAAAUAAAAUAAUUUCUUGAAUAUUAUUUGAAUAAUUGUAAUUAAUAUGUGGUACGAAAUUAUACCUAGUUUCUUAAUCAUUACAGCCGGCCUGGGGCUACCCGGUUGGGGUCUUUACCACAUACAUAAUUUAACUUUAGGCAACCAUUAUAGGCGCACUAUGAUCAGUCGAUGGGACCGUAUGCACUACCAGCGGGACCGGAGGAUCACAGGAAAUCCUUACCAAGUCAAUGGAUUAGAUGCUCUACCUGAUAAAUAAAAGGUUGUUACAAUAUGAAAUAUAUAGUGUAUUACAAAAUAUAGAUUAUUUAAUUCAAACAACAA